GUACUUUGCUCUGUGUGUGUUUGGUGGAAAUAUUAUUUUUAAACAGCCAUUUACUCUGAAAAAAUAUGAUUUUGCAUUAAAUUAGUUUUAAAGUUAAGGGAUAUAUAUAAGACCUUUUUAUUAACAAGUUGAUGAGAUGAGCAUUAGUAUACCUAUAGGAAGUUUUUGAAUGAGUGCCAAUUCUGAAUUUACAAAUCAACAUUUCUUCUCUCCAGCUUUCUUUAGCUUGCCCAUGGUGAUGUGAAGAUGAGAAGAAAUAGCAAGGCCCAACCAGUUCUUCAUCUGGAGACAGUUCAACGUUCUGCAAACCAGAUCUUCAGGAAUUUUACUGGGAUAAUUAUCCAAAUAAAUUGCAAGCAUUCUAUCCAAAUGGAGCUCUUUCUGAGAUGAAGAGAAUUCUCAAUGUCAAGAUUUGAACAAGAAGAGAAUGGAAUACACAAUAUGGACAUCCAUAAAAAUUCAUCAGAGAGCAUUUUACUACUGAGCUGCAAAGGGAAAAACUUAAAAUGGAUAUGAAAAGUGAAGAAAGUGAUCAUAGGAGAAAACCAUUUCAGAUGACAAGAGCACCUCAAAGGCAGCAGCCUCAAGGAGCAGCCAUGGCCCCAGACUUGUCGCACGGAUGCAGAAAACUUAAUGGAGGAGGCUGAGGUCAGAAUGGGAAGAGUUUUUAAAAAAUAAAAAGGGGAGCUAAUAUGUGAGGAACUGAUUGCUGUGCAUUAUUUUCCACUGAACAGACCUUCUUUUAACUUCUAAUCUCAAGCACAUAGCAGCUGUUGUUUUCAUAUUAAAGAUCAGUAAGUGUUUGUUGAAUGAAUGUAUAAAUUCUUCCCCAAUCUCUGUUCCAUGUAAUAAGAACUAAGUUAGCAUUCAAUUAUAAAGAGGACUUAGAAAGUCUGCAGACAUUUUUGAUCAAAAAUCCUUUUAACUGUCUUCUUAUGGUUCCCGGUAACACCUAAGCCCAAAAAACUCAGGUCAUUUCUUGCCUGUACUGUUGCAAUAGCCUCAUAAUAACUAGUCUUCUCCUUUAUCAACCACAGUCGUCUCCGCUACACAAAGAAGAGAGGGUGCUAAUCUAAAGUGUAAAUUAUUUUAAAUCAGCACCCUUCUUGUAAUUUCCCAGUGGUUUUUCCUGUCAUAAGAAUAACAUGCAAAAUUCCUUGCUUGCAAAGCCAGGUAUGACCUUGCCCCGUCUACCUUACUGGCAUCGUCUCUCAUGACUCUUCCCCUUUUUCACUCUCCAUCUUGCCUUUUCCCAACCAUGCCUGCUAGUGAGCCUUAGCCCUUGUGUUUUCUCUGCCAGGGAUGCAUGACUGGCUUCUUUACUUUAUUCUGAUCUCUCUGCUCAAAUGUCAUCUUUUUAGAGAUAGCUUUCCUAAACAUCUUUAAAAGUACCCCAUGAACUGUGAAACACCUUUCCUGCUUUUUCUUCAUAGUACUUAUCACUUCCUGAUAUUAUGUUAGACAACAAGCAAAUAAGUAUAUGCUGUUCCCACUAAAAUAUAAGCUCCAUUUGAACAGGAGCCUUGAUUAUUCCUGAGUAUACCCCUAGUGCCCAGAACCUAGUAGGGCUUUAAUAAAUAUUAGAUUCAUUUGUUGAAUGAAAAAAUGAAUGAAUAAUUGAAUAAAGAUAUCCAGGUAGAGUGUCCGGGCAGCCCAACCUAUGUGAAGCCAGUACAAGAAUGUUUCUGUGACAUAGUGAGCGCAAUUAUUCCUCUAAAUGAUGAACUUGCAUGAGUACACAAGGAUAAAAUUAAGCACGUAGUUUAGAUUUCUGCAAGUCUCUUCCUCAGAUUGAGGAAAAACAAAGAAAUUGAGCUUAUUCUCACCUCAUUCUUACAUGAACUAAAUCCAGAAUAAAGCAUCAUUUAAAUACCAAGCACAUCCCUACCUCAGCCACUCAUGGAAUACUUUAUCUGUAAAGGGACAGAUAGAUAGUAAAUAUUUUUGGCUUUGGGGACCGUACAGUCUGUGUCGCCACUACUCAGCACUUCUGUUGAGGUGUGGAAUCAGCCCUAGACAACACAUAAACAAAUGGGUGUGGCUGUGUUCCAAUAAAAUGUUAUUUAUAAAACUAGGAAAUCAGCAGAUUUAGUCCACAGGCUGUAGUUUGCUGACCCUUGAAUUAGAGAGUCUUCCCCAAAUCCUCUUCCCAAGUUAUUGAAAGAAUGCCCAUAGGACCAUAGCUCCCUCACCUGGUUCUUUCAAGAAAUGAGACAAAUUCAGGGAUGGUUGGAGGGUGGAACGCCUACCUGUGACAUGACUAUUGAGCCUGAUUUCUUUCCUUUUAUCUCUUUAAAGUGAGUCAGGUCUUAACUUUAAACUGUCUCUAAAGUGGCAAUAACUGGGCCAUGUCAAAUACUCCCAAUGACAAAAUUUCUUCUUGGAGAAUGAAUGAGGGUUGCAUACAGUGGUGUGUUGGUAAAUGUUUAGCAACUGGCUCUCUUACUGAUUUCUGUAGUGUAAAUUCUCCCAUCCUGGCCAUCUGAAACUACCAAUAUGAUGUCACUUGAUGUAGAGUUGGGAAAAGACAGUCUCUUGAAUAAGUAUGAGCUGGUUCCAGCCCACUGCUGAACACAUAUUUAAAAGCUACAAUAGCUCUGCUCACUGCCAUUGCAGAGUCUGGAGGAAAGAGUAGCAGGCUUGAUAGGAGCAAUUGGCUGAAUAAUCUUUUGCAAUGCCAAUAAAUAAUGAAAAAGUAUAUAAAUAUAACGCUGUAUAGAAAGCUCUCAAGUUCAGUGUUUGGUUAAAAUACAUACUCAGUAAAUGGUAGCUAUUAUUGUCUUAGUUUAAGUUAUUGCAAGCAUUAAAAUUAAAUGUUUAGCUACAGACUCAAUCCAGUUUUAAUGUCAUUGUGUUAAUAAGGCCUCUUAACAUUGAAGCAACAAAGAUAAAGGAAUUUUUUUGUAGCUAUUCACGAUUCUGCCCAGCUCAAGGUAAAGAUAGCAACAAAAUACUCCAACCAGAAUAAAAGAAGUCUCCACUUGACUGCAGCUCUUCGCAACACUUCACAAGGGUCAAGCUGUGUUAGUUUCCUUCAGUGUUAAACAGAAUGCAUCUUAAGAGAAUAGUUCAAUUAUUGAUUGAAUAGUAGGUUCAAGUUGACUAUAAUCCCAACUAAUACACUCUAAGACCAGGGAUGGGCCGACAGAAGGGUAAAGUUUUCCACUCAAGUCUCGAGGCAAACACUCAGAUAGAAGUAGUAAUAUGGAUGCCUUCUAUUAUUUGGUCACAUACAAUACUGUUCCAGCCCAGUUGUGCAAAACUGGUGAAAUAAAAGGCAAAAAUAUUGACAACAGUUUGGGUAACUGGAUUCCAAAAUGGGCAUCCAUCUAAGAGAAAUUAAUGAAAAAAAAGCAUAUGGACCUUGAAAUACAUUAAUACACAGUUUAGGUUUAAACACUCAGUUUUUAUUAGAAAAGACUAACUUAUCCUGUUUUGAACACUACAAAAGUGCUUUCUGAACCAUUUACUCUCAAACCUCCUCCACCCAUUCCCCUCCAUCUAUAACGCUUUCUGCACAUCUGUAAAAGGUAUGACUUAGUGUUUGGUCUGUGAAAUAAGGUUAAAAAGGAAGCAUUUCUUUUUACAUUCUAGCUAAUGUUGAUAUUUUUCUCAUGCUUCUAUUAGCACAUAAUUCAGAUACAUUAGUUUUGAAGUUUUGAAUCUUCUCUGCUUCUUGAGGGCUCUCUGUUCUAGAUCAACAUGAUCUGUGGAACACCAGCCAAGUCCUGGGCAGAACCCUCCCCGUUGUCCAAAUAUUACUGAAUCAGUUGAGUUUUCUCUGUUGUCAAUGAAUUAUUCCACAUGUUUCUUUGGCUACAUUUUUUUUGGCUUUCUGUUCACAGUAAAUAUAGCCUUUGUUUUUAAAAACUUCUAUUAUGAAAAUUCCAAAUAUAUGCAAAUUAGAGAGAAUAGCAUAAUGAACCUCUAUGUGCUUAUCACACAUAUAGGUUCAACUAAUUAAAUUAUAUCAAUUUAUGGCCAAUCUGGUUUCAUUUAUAACAUCAUUCGCUCAUUCCUAACUCCCUGGAUUAUUUGAUUGACAUGUUUCUAAAGUUCCUUUUAAUCUGUAGGUUCCCCCUCUCAUUUAAUCUUUUGCAACUUAUUCAUUGAUGAAACUGGGUUAUUUGUCCUUUAUUGUUUCUCUCAUUCUGAAAUAUGCUGUAAUGUCAUUAACCAUAUUCUUCUUUCCUGUAUUUUCUGUAAGCUUUGAGCUAGGCAGAAAUAUUUUAAUCAGAUUCCUUUUUUUUUCUUUUAGCAAGAUUUCUUCAUAAAUAAUAUU
rnacentral:lncRNA from 1 species